CCUACGGGAGGCAGCAGUGGGGAAUAUUGCACAAUGGGGGGAACCCUGAUGCAGCGACGCCGCGUGAGUGAAGAAGUAUUUCGGUAUGUAAAGCUCUAUCAGCCGGGAAGAAAAUGACGGUACCUGACUAAGAAGCCCCGGCUAACUAAGUGCCAGCAGCCGCGGUAAUACGGAGGGGGCAAGCGUUAUCCGGAUUUACUGGGUGUAAAGGGAGCGUAGACGGUUAUGCAAGUCUGAAGUGAAAGCCCAUGGCUUCACCAUGGAACUGCUUUGGAAACUGUAUAGCUGGAGUGCAGGAGAGGUAAGAGGAAUGCCUAGUGUAGCGGUGAAAUGCGUAGAUAUUAGGAGGAACACCAGUGGCGAAGGCGGCUUACUGGACUGUAACUGACGCUGAGGCACGAAAGCGAGGGGAGCAAACGGGAUUAGAUACCCUAGUAGUC
rnacentral:rRNA from 1 species